UGGCGGUGCGGUGCGGCCGCUGUCCCCCCCCCGGGGCUGUGUGGCCGCUGUCCCCCCCCGGCCGCCGCCGUCCCGCUGUCCCCCUGCCAUUGGCUCCGUGCAGCGGAGCGGCACCGCCGCCCGCUAUAAUACCGCUAUGCCCGCCGGAGGCGGCACCGCACACGGCUCCGCCGAAGCCACGGCGAUGCCGCCGCUCCUCCUCCUCCUCCUCUUCCUCCGCCACCACCUCCUCCUCCUCCUCCUCCUCCCCCGCCAGGCGCCGCGCCGGGUGUAGAGGCGAGCCGGGCUGUGCCGAGCCGUGCCGGGCUGUGCCGCGCAUGCCGGGGGGCUCCCGAGCGGGCCCCCAGUGCCCGGGGAGCCCCGGCCCCAUGGAGUGCUACUACAUCGUCAUCAGCUCGGCGCACCUCAGCAACGGGCACUUUCGCAACAUCAAGGGAGUUUUCCGAGGCCCCCUCAGCAAGAACGGGGACAAAACUCUGGAUUAUGCUGAAAAGAAAAACACGAUAGCAAAAGCCCUGGAAGAUCUUAAAGCCAACUUCUACUGUGAACUCUGUGACAAGCAGUACUAUAAACAUCAGGAGUUUGACAAUCACAUUAACUCUUACGAUCAUGCUCACAAACAGAGACUCAAGGAACUGAAGCAGAGGGAGUUUGCUCGAAAUGUAGCAUCGAAGUCAAGAAAAGAUGAAAGGAAACAGGAAAAAGCCCUUCAACGUUUGCACAAGUUAGCUGAGCUAAGGAAAGAGACAACGUGUGCUCCUGGAAGUGGCCCCAUGUUCAAAUCCACUACAGUGACUGUGCGAGAUAAUUCCAAUGAUAUCCCACAAAAUGCUGCCAUAGAUUCUUCCAACAAACAGGAUUUCAGCUGUACAUUAAUAAACGAUGUGCAGAACUGCAAAGAUGCUACUGCAGUUAUUUCUUCCACUCCUGAAAAUGCAUGCAGUAAUAAAUCUGACACCAACAAAUUUGGAGAUCAAGUUCAAGGAGCUCAAGGACAACGAGUUGGGUUCUCUUUUGCUUUUCCUAAGAAAGCAGCAGUCAAACUGGAGUCUUCAGCUGCCGUUUUCUAUGAAUAUAAUGAUGAAACAUCCACAGAACAUGGAUUUAGCAGAAGAAGUAGAUUUGUUCCAGGAGUCUGUAAUCUUCAGUCUCCAUCAGCAGCAGAAAUAGUCCUGUGCCCUGAGGAGAAAAAUAGCUGUUUCCACCCAGUGGUGGAAAAAUGCACUGACACAGCAGAAGCUCCCGAAACUCAGGAUUCAAAAGAGCUGGCUAGUGAAGAAAGUAGAGAGCUAGAGAGUCCUGUAUUAAUUCCUGCUGUUUCCCAUUCAAAGCAACUAGUGUCUUCUGACAUGGAUGGCUGCAAUACUGAUGGAAAUACAGCAGAUGUACCAAGUCAAACACUGUCCACAGUUGUGGACGGUACUCAUAACCUACCCCUGGGCUGCAGCAGUUGUGAACUGCCGGGAAAUGGGACCGUCGCUCAGCCUGUGGUGGAGGAUUGUCUAUCCCUUCAGAACAUUGUAGAGGAAAAUGGUAAAGAUGGGAACAGUGAUUCAGUCACAGUUGAAACUGAAGUAAAGAAUCUGGAGGCAGAUCCAUUAGUUCCAUCACAUUCUGAAGAUUGUAAUAGAGCUCCCCAAAGCAAACUGGACACACGCAAGCGAUCUUGUGAACCAUUUGUUCCAGUUCUUAGCAAACAUGGAACAAAUAUUCUUCAGUGGCCAUCAGAAAUGUUAAUUUACACAAGUACAGAUCCGUCAAUUUCUUAUAGCUGUAAUCCUUUAUAUUUUGACUUCAAGUUGUCAAAAGCGAGUGACAACCAAGAAAAGCCCAAGCAUCAGCCAAGCUUACCUCAUUUACAACUCACAACUGAAUCCAACCAUAGCUCAGUUUCAGAUUUUACAAAUAAACCUACUUCAGAGUGUGGUGAUCAUGAAACAGAAGUAGAUAAAAAUGUGUGUGACUACACAAUACCCCUUAUAAGUGAUGUUUCCCACGUCAGAAAUUGUGAUCUUGCAAAAUUUCAGAAUAAAGUGUCCUUGGGUGAGUCAUUCAGGAUUAGAAAAUUAGAUAAGUAUCACAUUUCAAGAAACCACUUAAGACAAAACACUGUGAUAGAUGAGAAAUAUAACAAAGUUCGGAUCAAAGAAAGUCAUGAAAAAUGGCUUCACAAAAGUAGAAAACGAAAAAGGAGAAGAAAAUUAUGUCAUUGUCAUCAUCAUCAUCCUUCCGGAGAAGCAACAUUUGUAGAAAUGGAGAUUUCCUCAGUGACUGAAAAGGAAAUUAGUCACAGAGAUGAAAAUAAAUAUCCGCACCUCCAAAAUAACCCAGAGAAGUGUAGAUAUGAUGCAGGGAAUAUCUGGUUAGCUAUGGAUGAGGUACAGCAGUCACAUCAAAAAGCUGGCCUUGACAAUGGUCAUAAAAGAAGCAUGUCUACAUCAGAUCACAUACAUGGGGACAGAGGCUCAUGUGACAUUCGGAAUGCAAAAACUAGGGAGCAACGCAGUUGUUGUAGACUACUGCACAGGAAGAGAAAAGCAAGCUCUCGGAGACAAUUAAUGCAUCUGUCUCAAACUUCUAGGAGGCACAACUGCAUGUGCUCUAAAAUGUGCUGUAGUUGGAAAGUCAGGAGAUCAAUCUGUAGCCCAGAGCAUAAAUGUUUAGGUCCCUGCAGUGAGGAAAAGAGUGUGAGUCAAAAUCACUCCGUAAAGAGAGGUUACAACUUCCUAACAGAUGAACCAGAAAAAUCCCACAGGAAGCGGAGACAGCAUACCUAUUCCUGUUCUUCAGAUGAAAGCUCAUACAGACAGACAUUUCUAGAAGAAGAAUAUGUAAGGCAAACAAGCACUUCAGGUAUGCAUCACAAAGAAAAAUGUAAACACAGGAGGAGGAAAACUAGAAUAAAUCAUGUAUGCAUUGACAGGAAUACAACAAGCGAGACCUCCAGGCCUUCUAAAGAAAACUCUGCAAAUUCUGCAUUAAAUGUUUUGGGAGAAUUCUUGACUCGAGACAACAUGGAGGAAACUAAUGUGGAUCCCAAAGCUGAUCAUGCAAAAGUUACAGAUGAAACAAUGCAACUGGAGGAAAACAAGUCAGCCCUACAAAUGGAUAGUUCACAUUUGUUGGAAAAAGACAAGCUGACAGAUUGCGUGGCACUGGAGAGCACUCCAGGUGCAUCUGCAGAAGUUGUCACACAUACUGCUGCUUCUGCUGCUGAGUGUGGUGCCCCUGCAUCUGCAAACACACAGGACAUUCUGGAGGACGAAAAGAAAAAUGAAAAUGUAAACAGUCAUGAAAAUCAAGCUCAUUAUAAAGCUCCACCCCCCACUAGACCUUUGGAACAAGCUCCUCCUAAAUCAUACGUUUGCCAUUAUGAAUUGGCCGAGUCUCUGCCACGUGAGAAGAUAAAUGAGGUGAGCAAUGAAUGGGUACAGUGUAAUUCUGGCAUGUUUGACAGCCCACCACCUUUGCCAUUCAAAGAAGCACAUAUAAACAGUCACACCUUUUUAACUACCGAGCAGUUAAUAGCCCCCUUCACCCUGCCUGACCAGACGUUGAUAUUCCCUCCAGAUAACCAUGAAAAAUUCAAAGACCUCCCGUCCGAGGCAUAUCAGCAGCUUGUGCAGCAAAACAUGCUGGCCAACAAAGUGAAGUUUACCUUUCCUCCCCCAGCCAUCCAGCCCCCCAGCUCUCCAUUGCAGCCCCUCCCGCUGCAGCCACCGCUGUGUUCUACCUCCGUUACCACCAUCCAUCACACUGUCCUGCAGCAGCACGCGGCCGCCGCCGCUGCCGCCAGUACGUUUAAGGUCCUCCAGCCCCACCAGCAGUUCCUCUCACAGGUCCCGGCUCUGUCCAGAGCGCCUUUACCUCAUCUGCCCGUAGGACCUCGGCUUUGUCCAGGAGGCCACGCGGCUUUUGUCGCUCCACCGCAUUUGCCGCUGGUGCCGCCCUCAGUCCUGCACCCGACCCAGCUGGCGUUCUCACCGCUGCCGCACGCCGUGUUCCCCUCCCUGCUGUCCCCACAUCCAGCUGUCCUUCCACUGCAGCCCCUCUUCUAGGACAGGUUCUUGGGGGGAAAGGAGCCUUCAGAUAAACAGACUCGUGGUUCCUGUCAAGCCCUCAGCUUUGCAGAAUGGUUCUGUGAAAUAAACUGGUUGAAAUUCCUCUGUCGUUGGGAAGCAUUUACUAGACUUCUCCCUACCUCUGCAACCUUUUUAUUGCUGUUGAACCUCACCUGACUUCAGCCAGUGAAAUCUUCUUAUUUGCUUUAAUUCAAGAUAUAUCAGGCCCACACCUGUGAUGGCCUAAAGUAAAACCAGAAGUGAAGCAAAGCCAGCGCUGUGAGUUAAAAUGAAGUCUAGACACAUGAGUGAAACUAAGAAUUUGCACCAUGACCUUUAGUGCUAGAAGUAGAUCCUCCAUAAUAAAAGGUAGGGGCUAGCUUUCAAAUUAAUUACUUCUUUUCACUUUUUUUAUAUAAGAUAAUAGAGUUAUAUACAGUUGAACUGAAGGAAUAGUAAUUUUGGAAGAUUAGUAAUAUACAUUGCAUAUUAAUAGUUACAUACAUUAUCCAUUUGAAAAGUAAUAUUAUAUCCUGAAAGAUAUGUAGCUGGUUAUUAUUUUCUGUACCUAUAGCAUUAGAACUUACCUAUAUCAAUAUUGCAAGUCUUAGUAUAAUAUUGUGUUAAAACUGUAGCAAACAACAUCUUUUCAACUGUGUUGGAUACUCAAUGGAUGUGAGCUUUCCUUGUCAUGUCAUUACAAAGGGCUAAACUACAUUAUAAAAAGUUGAUGAGAAAGAGUAGAUGAACGGUUUGGUCAUGGGCUGCUUCUCAUAACCCCUGCCUGAGACUGGCACAGAGCAGGACGUUGUUGAGCAUCUAUCCGUAUAAUGGCAUAAAAAGGGUAUAUUUUCUCUAGCUUGUAAUUUCAAGUGAAUGCCCAUUUCUAUUUAUCUGGUACGUGUAAAACGUGUUUUAAGUGACUUUAUCCUGCUUCUUUAUUUCAAGAGUAUGCCUGCUCAAUCUGUAUGUCUCCACUACCUCCUGUAGCAGGCAGGUGUCCCACGCCUGUGUGUAAGCCAUGUUGCUCAAACACUGGAACCUAUAUUUGAAACCUGAAGGUGUGUGCUUGCCACUCAGCCUCCUACCUUAGCUGACUUGUGCUGGCUUUUGUAUUUCUGCGCUCCUCGGCAGGAGUCAGCAUACAUGUUCCUUCCCCUGGACCCAAUGUCUUGUCAAAGAAAAUGGUCUAAUACUAUACACUUGAAAAAAAUAAAUAAUAGGACAAUUGUGGUUAUACAUGAUCCAUAUCCAUACAUUUUUAUCUAGCAGGAGACUGACAAAUUUCAAAUUUUCAGCUGUAAUGUUCAUUGAAAAAAUCCCAUCUAUUACUUAAGAAGUAUUUUUAUUUUUUAAAUAUGUUCAAACAACUUUGGAUUUUACAUUUUUUUCUACAAUUUAAAUUAAAUUAAUUCUAUUUUAAGUUGUUAAACAAUUUUACAACAUUGCACAAUUAUUUAUCUACUGUAAUUGCUUUUCAAUAGUGUAUAAACUACUGAGAAUAAAAGACUAAUAACCAUCAAAUGUAGUAAUUUUCUAACAUGGUAUUGCCUUUAGUGCUAGAACUGUUUGUAUAUGUGACUUCAUAUGUAAGAGUAAAAACAAUAUAAAAAUAAAUCACAAGAUAAGUUUAAAAUUGACCACGCUAAAUUAAAUGACAUAAUAAAAUAUUCAUUUGAGUUUCUGUUUUAUUAUUAAGUAUAUAACUUUUAGUAAUUUAUAUAAAGGUAGUUCUUUUUCAGACUUUAUCUGGUAUUUUAGAUCAAAUGUGUAUUUUUAUUCUAUGACUUGACAGUCGAAUUUGUAAGUAAACAUUAUUUCAAAUGCUAAAUAAUUGAAUUUUAUCGUUCUAAAUAAAUUCCUCCAAACUUGCUUAAUUAAUUUACUUUGGAAUUUUCCAGUUUUCACAAAUCUAGGAGUUCUUUUGUGUCUAUGUUCCUGACCAGUUUGCCAGUUUAUAGAAUUACUGGAUUGUGUUCCUAAUGUAAACAGUAAAAGUGAUACUAUUCCUUUAAUCCAUCUGAAUCGCAGGAAUUAAAUCUUCAGACUGCAAUGAUGACCCUAAAUUAGGUUAUAGAUUUUGUUAAGUGAUUUCGCAGAACAGCUCUGCAGAGAAAUGAUUGAGAAGUUAAUCUGUUCCGCUGAGAUGAGAAGUGUAUCUUUGUCCUUGGAAAGUUGCAGUCUGCCCAGACUAUGACCUUCUUGGAGCCAUACCAUUUUUCAGAUAGUACCUGUGUACCUUCCUCAUGGACGAGAAACAGCACGUUAUCUUCUAGAAGCAGAAGAAAUAAAAGGGAAGGUGUUUUCAUCUGCCACCACCAGUUUACCCAGAAGCAGGGGCAAAGGAACCUGUUGGAGAACUAUCCAUGUCAAUCACUACCCUUGAAGGACAAUUGAAAGUGGUUUGUGAAAUGUUCCCUAGAGGAAAAGAUGCAGGUACUUCUGGAGAGAAAAAAAAAAAAAAUCAUAGUAUUGACCCUGGCAAUGUUCAUAGAGGCAGACGGCAACACAAAGAUAUACAAGGAGGGCCAGGCAUAAAGGGGUCCAGUUGUAAAGGUUUUUAAAGAUAGGAACAAAGAGCUUUAGAGCUUUAAUCAACUCUUCCUGGGCCUACUGAGAGUAGUGAUAAUUAAUCUCUAGAAACCUCCCUUCAUCCUUUUAUGCAGUUCUCCUCAGGAGUAUUUUUGUUUUUUAACCCCUGGAUACCAAAAGAUGUUUUUUUUCUGACACUGGACUGUGUGGCAUUAUCCUGAGCAGCGGGAUGGAUGAAUCCUGAAGUGCCAAGGGAACUAAUUACCUGGAAAGGUUUAAGUAGCAAACACCUAUCAGAAUGUUUUUCACAGAGAGCAAAGCUGUGUAGAAACAUGAGUGGAGACUAUCUGCAGCUGCACAUCUAAGAGGUUUUAUUUGAGAUUUAAAUGUUUUAGACUUUCCACUGCUGUGUCACAGUGUGAUGUACUGUAUCAAAGCUGCUUCUUUCCAUCAUUUUUCAUUAUCACGCAGGGUUAUGUAGCUUAACAUAGCUGAUAGAUGUGAUUUGACACAUCACAAGCAGAUGCGUCAGCAGGAGUAUCUAAAAAUGACACAAUUUGCUCAAAUGCUGUGGUUACAAAAAUAUCCUUCUUGUAAGUUAUUUUAAAAUUAAAGUCUAUGUAUUUUGAUGACAG